GCGGCGUGCUUAACACAUGCAAGUCGAACGAUGAUCCCUAGCUUGCUKGGGGGAUUAGUGGCGAACGGGUGAGUAACACGUGAGUAACCUGCCCUUAACUCUGGGAUAAGCCUGGGAAACUGGGUCUAAUACUGGAUAUUGACUUUUCACCGCAUGGUGGUUGGUUGAAAGAUUUAUUGGUUUUGGAUGGACUCGCGGCCUAUCAGCUUGUUGGUGAGGUAAUGGCUCACCAAGGCGACGACGGGUAGCCGGCCUGAGAGGGUGACCGGCCACACUGGGACUGAGACACGGCCCAGACUCCUACGGGAGGCAGCAGUGGGGAAUAUUGCACAAUGGGCGAAAGCCUGAUGCAGCGACGCCGCGUGAGGGAUGACGGCCUUCGGGUUGUAAACCUCUUUCAGUAGGGAACAAGGCCAGUGUUUAGUUGGUUGAGGGUACCUGCAGAAGAAGCGCCGGCUAACUACKU
rnacentral:rRNA from 1 species